UAUAGGUAAAAGAAAAAAAAAUGAUUGUGUACCUGUUUGAAAGUCCAUUUGUCGCUAGAUCGGGAGUCCGUUUGUCGUUUACAUGCGAGUCCGUUUGACGUUUGCAGUCCCAAUCAUCAAGUAAAAAAAAAAAAAAAAAAGUCCUAAUGUCGAUGGCACGGGAGUCCUCUUGUCGGAAAGUAUAGCGCUCGGUGGGUUCAGCAACAAUUUACUGAUGCGCCCAAACGUCGGGGACCAGUAGUCCAAACGUCGGUGGGCAGAUGUCCUAACGUCGGGUACCAGAUGUCCAAGUGUCGGAAACCUGCAACCAAAAGUCGGAAACCCUGGAGUCCUUUUUGUAACUCGCCCAAAAGAGUACAUGCCUUUUGACACAACCCUUUAUCACUUUAAAUUGAAAUAUUGUCGUAAGUGAAAAAAGUAGCGUGAUUGUGAGACUUUAUUUGAAACAAGAUCGCACGAUUCGAUUGGAAAUGAAAAAAUUUAAGAUGUUUGCAGAAAAAUAGGUUUGAGGUUUGAGGUGACAUAGAUAUAAAUUAUGAUAUCACACGACUGUAAACCACGGAAAUCCCCGCCAUGCUAAAAUAUUGACUUUGGAGAAACAGGCCUUAUUAGAAUAUUUUUGUUAAAAUUUUUCAUAAUUUGUUUAUAAUUUUCUUUGACUUUUUUUUUUACCAAUUUACCGUUUGUGUUACAAAACUAGCAACGACACACAAGUGCACCGUCUACCAACUUUCAGAAUUCUAUGUUGGCUACUAACAUGAGCACACGAAAUAAAUUGCUUUGCCAAUACAAUUAUGGUUUUGGUAGAUAGCCUACCUUAACAUUGUUUCCAAUCUUAUGUAUUGUUGGUCCGUUUUAAGACGAGAUGGAGAUGCAAUAAAAUAAUCUCCUUUUAAA